rnacentral:lncRNA from 1 species
GAUAAAAUGGAACAAAAUUAUUUCCAUAAUGCUGUGGAAAGGGCUCAAGAUAAUGUGAUUUCUUGGGCGUCACAAUUUUAAUGAAUGUUGAUAAAUUCAUUUUUAAUGCAAAAUCGCGUGGUAACAAAGAUGCACAUACAAUUUUGGAUACAGCUAAACGUAACAUCGGUCGUCAGAAUGAUUUGUUAUUAAAAUUUGUAUUUUUUUUAUUCAACUGUAUUGAUGAUACUGUUAAGGUUAUGAAGAACAAGGCCAUUUUAAGAGGGAGUCAAAUGCAAAUACCUGAUAUUUAAAACUACUUUUCAUGUUAAAGAAGUUUAAUGCUUCAUGCGUCAUGGGAAACAAAAGAUAGUUUCUAUCUGCACAUUCACACAUUUAAAGCAGCUUGGAGACUCAAAUCUUCUUUAAUUUGGGUUCACGCUUCAGUGUUUUUGGUUCUGCUGGUCUUAUUUUACAUCGAUUCGUUUCAGUGGGCAAACUGUUGACAUAGCCUUUCUCUUCUCAGCACUCGUUCUUUAUUCACUAAAGUGUUAUUUUUAUAGCUUUACAAUAUUUUUAUAGUAACUGGAACGAGCCUCAUCAAGUAAAGUUCAAUGACUUGCGCUGUACUUCGCACAGUAAAAACACUGCAACAACAUAUUAAGAAUCAAACGCUUUUUAGUAUUUCUUCUAUUGCUUUAAAAAAAAAAAACAAUAUCAUGCAAGUAAUCACAAACAGGCAAAUAAUACAGAUAUUGCUCUCUUCACAUUUGCUGAUUUCUGUGAACACAACAGGUGAUCAUAUUGUCCAAUUAUUUCCCAUCAGCUUCCUGCUGUCCUCCUUUCUUUUUCUUCUUGUUUUGUUGCGGCUGUGUUUUGGCUUUCUUCGUGGCCGGCUGAUUUUGUGUCUGUUCUCCUUCGCCUCCCUGCUGUUUCCUCUUCUUGUUUUUCUUCUUGUUCUUCUUCUCCCCUCCUGAUGCUCCUUCUGUGGAGGCUGGUGUCUCUUUUCCCUCCAGGACGGUGGGCUUCUUACGGUUCUUGCGUUUCUUUGUCUCAGGAAGGAACCCCUUCUUCUUCUUGUUCUUCUUUGUGGUCUCUUCCGUCUGCUCUGCCUCUACAACUUUCUUCACCUUCUCCAUCUUUGGCUUUCUAAAAUAAAGCAAAGAAAGAGAGACAUUAAAGACAGGUUCAUUUUCAGUUAAAUCUGCUGGAAAUUGUUUAAUACUUGAAACGAAUGUAAUGAAAACUACUUUUAUUAUGUAAUACUUCAAACAUUAAAGAUACAUAAAAUUCAGCUUUAAUCAUAUCGAAUAAACUACAUUUAAAAAUAUAUUGAAAUAGAAAACAGUUAUUUGUUAACUGUUUUUUUUUUUUUUUUACUGUAUUUAUUAUGGUGUCUCUUUUCCCUCCAGGACGGUGGGCUUCUUACGGUUCUUGCGUUUCUUUGUCUCAGGAAGGAACCCCUUCUUCUUCUUGUUCUUCUUUGUGGUCUCUUCCGUCUGCUCUGCCUCUACAACUUUCUUCACCUUCUCCAUCUUUGGCUUUCUAAAAAUAAAGCAAAAGAAAGAGAGACCAUUAAAAGACAGGUUCAUUUUCAGUUAAAUCUGCUGGAAAUUGUUUAAUACUUGAAACGAAUGUAAUGAAAACUACUUUUAUUAUGUAAUACUUCAAACAUUAAAGAUACAUAAAAUUCAGCUUUAAUCAUAUGAAUAAACUACAUUUAAAAAUAUAUUGAAAUAGAAAACAGUUAUUUGUUACUUGUUUUUUUUUUUUUACUGUAUUUUAUAUCAAAUAAAUGCAGUCCUUGGUAAGCAUGAGAGACUUUUUCCCCCAAAUUUCUGCAUGGUAGUUAAGCAUACACAUACACAUUUUAAAAAUUAUGUAAUACUUCAAACAUUAAAGAUACAUAAAAUUCAGCUUUAAUCAUAUGAAUAAACUACAUUUAAAAAUAUAUUGAAAUAGAAAACAGUUAUUUGUUUACUGUUUUUUUUUUUUUACUUGUAUUUUAUAUCAAAUAAAUGCAGCCUUGGUAAGCAUGAGAGACUUUUCCCCAAAUUUCUGCAUGGUAGUUAAGCAUACACAUACACAUUUAAAAUUACAAUCAAAACAGAUUUGAAAACCGUGACUCACAGGAUGCAAAAUAACUUCAUCACGCUCCAGUACAUGUCCUCCAGCUGUCCUGGUUUCUGCAGGCUUCCUUCAGCGUUCAUGGACUUGAGAACUUUCUGAAGGAGCUCCAGAUUAACCGGCAUCUCCUGCUCAGAAAGAAACAACACUCAUAGAGAAUACCUUGUAAAAGCAGAAGUUUUAGUAAAAACGUUGAUUUAAUACCUGAGUGUGAACGGAUCUGACAAGAUGCUGACAGAGCUCUAGCGCCUUGACUAUCUUCUCACGAACCAUUUUAUUCUUACACUGUACAUCUUCAAAACUCUGGAAGAAAGGGAUACAUUUUAGUAUAGAUAUUAAAUAUUAUAUUAUGCACACACAAACAUACAGUCCAUGUAUAAUUAUUGUUUAAAAAACUAACUUUUUUUACAUUACUAAAAAAUAACUAAUAUUUAAAAAACAAUUUUUAUAAAUUUGUAUCAAUAUUAACAAUACAUGCAAAUGAAUUUCACUGGAACUUAUGCCAACUACUGAUGUUUCAACAGCGCUGACCAUUAAACGUUGAAAAGUCUACCUUGGCGAGUUGGUCCACAACUUUCUGAUGCAGCUCAGUGCCCUGGGCAUCAGACAUCAGGUUCUUCACGUCUUUAGACUGCAGGGCCCUGAGCACCAUGAGACAUGCCUGACCCUAAACAACCGGAAAAAAUAAAUAAAUAAAUAAACACAUACACACACGCUUAAGACAGUACAUUAUAAUUCAAGUAUACAGUAACUGAUUCUACAUCCAAAAUAUUCAUGAGCUGCUCCAAUACACUAUAACACAGAUGGAUCAGCUUCAUUUACCUGCUGAUGCUCCCUCACUCCAGCAGUGAUGUUCUCCACAGCCGUGUCCAACAGGUUCACACACAACACCUUCAAACAUAACACAAACCGAUCAGUUUCCGCCAAUUAAGUGCUUUCAUGAGACACAUUUUGCAGAAAACUUCUGUGUUUUUCAGUGCAUGUCAAAACAUUUAUUUGAGGUUUAAUUAAUUUUACUAAUACUUUUCCCAGUACUAAUAAAAUUCCCAAUAGUAAUAGUGAUGUUUGCCAUAUCAAAACUCACCAACACUGAGCUGUCUACCUUUAUACAGAGCUGAACGAUUAAUCUAAAUAAAAUUAAUAUGGCAAUAUGGCUUUGUGUUAUUACCGAAUCAUAAAAGCUGUGAUUUAUGUUACUAAGUGAGUCUGGGUUGCUUAUUACGUGCAUUUUGGAAAUAUAAAAUAAGGACAUUAACUAAUAAAUAUUAGUAUUGUGAUUUUACAGUUGAACUGAAAGAUUAUUAAAUGUUAGUGUUAUUAAAUACAAUUAAUUCAUUUUAACAUUAAAACUAUUACAACAACAGCAAUUGUAAUUAAAGCAAAAUCCAUUUUUAUAUAAGCACUGAGCCUAAUUCCACUUCUUGCUUUUUAACUCUUUAAAAAUUAUUUUUAAGCCUGUUUGCUGGAAUUUAAGGCAUGGAUGAAACACAACUUUCUAAAACUAAAUUGUUCUAAAACGGAAAUUUUAUUAAUUGCCACUACAAUGUUAAUAAGUUCAGUAAUUUUAAACUUUCAGUUGACGAUACCCAAAUAUCUUCUUCUGCUCAAGUGCUUAAUUUGGGUGUGAUUUUUGAUGCUCAUUUUACUUUUAACUCUCACUUCAAAAACAACUAAAGUUGCUUUUUUUCAUCUUCGUAACAUUGCUUGCAUAAGACCCUUUUUUUCUAGGGCUGAUGCUGAGAGGCUUAUUCAUGGCUUCAUAACAUCACGGCUCGAUUAUUGCAAUUCUCUCUUUGGGGGAUUACCAGCAAGUUCUGUUAAGAGACUACAAUAAAUUCAAAACUCAGCAGCGCGGAGUUCAGCCCUACGAACAAGCACAACAAACCUGGAUAACUUAAAAGUAUUUUAGAUUGCUAUUGCCAUCGGAAAAAAAACUCAAUUAGAACUCCCCCCCCCCCCACUUAAUAAUGAUUAUUCAAUACAGUUAUUUUGACUCACAGGGAAUCUGCUGAAGAGGUCGAUGAACAUGGCUCCAGUGAGAGGGCUUUUCCUCUUCGUCAAGAAAGAUGUCAACGCAUUUUUGAAGCAAGUCGUGACCCUCUCAACAUCCAUUUUUACCCAUAAGCCUUAGCUGUGAUCAACAGACAAGUUACUUCAUUAACCUCAGUACUUAGAGAUUAACAACAGUGUGUCUAUUGAAGAUUAACCUACCUCUGCUGGUGUUGACGGUGCGUUUGCUGAGUCCUGUUCACUCACAACACCUCUCAACACCUUCAGCACAUAGAGAGCAGCACUACAAAACAAUAACAAUGUGAUUUAAAGAAACAAACACACCAAAAGUAGACACACAAUGAACAUAUAUGAGAGUUUGUACACUACAAGUAGAUCUUUUUGUCUUUUCCUGCAACAUGGGAUUAAUAAGCAUUAAUAAGUCCUCACCUGAAGUAGUACGGAGACACAGACGAGUCUGUCAGCUUCUGAGCUCGACCAAUCAGACGCUCAAGCAUUUCAUGAAGCUCCGCCUCUCGUCCGUCGGUUUCCCUGCAAUAAUACUUCGCACGACAGAGUCGAUUCCUGCCAAUCAGAGACAGAGCGACAAACUAUAACUAUUAAAUACAUAAAGAAAAGGUCAAAUUCUGUGAGCUGAAUCUCAGCUGCAGUGUUUUGUUAUUAUCAAGUAAAAAUUUUAAGUUUCCUAAAACAUCAGAUGAAAGACUAAAAUGUUUUGGUACUAAAAUUAUUAAAAAUAAAAUUGAAACGAGCUAUACUGAAACAUUAAAAGACAUAAAAGCUAAUUAGAAAUCUCAAUACAUACUUUAAAAGUACACAAAUAACACUAACAUAGCACUCCUAACCUGAAGAUGUCUGCAGCCUUGCGCAGGAAGUCCUGUUCCUGUUGGCUGGUUUCGGAGCUCAUCCCGUUCUCGAUCACGCUGAGCAGCGGUUCCACCAUACCAAGAACCAGAGCGCUGCUCCCCUGUUUGUUCAAGAACAUCUCCACCAUGUCCAGUACCUGACAACCAGUUUUAAGGAAACCCUGAAUACUAAGGCAGGUUUCAGAUUCACCUACACGCAAUCGGACAUGUUUACAGAAUAUGUAAAUGUUGGACAAUUUUUAACACAAAUGUAUUGCUCAAAAAACACUCAACAAAACUUUGCAAGAUGAAUUGCAACAAAGUCAUCUGUGACUGUAAUAUGGCUGUAGCGACGGAGAGUUUUACUGUGCAAACUGUCAUCAUUUAUUUAGAAGAAAUAAUUCAAAUGUAUACCAACAAGAUUUUAAAACAGAAUAUAUAUGAAAUAAAUCAACAAAUAAAAAAGUAAAUAGUCUUAUUAAAAUAAUAGUCUAAAAAUAACUAGUUGAACAACUCAACCUCCCUAAUUUUUAUAGCACCAUCACAUAUAUUAAUGUUAAAAUAUAAAAAUAUUAAAUACAUAUACACACACAACAUACACUGGAAGUUCUACUUCAUUUGAUACUUUACAGUGAAAUAAAUAUUAUUUUAUUUUAUUUCAAUAUGUGAACAACUACAACUAACUUAAAACAAUGCAUCUCUUCAAAACUUAUAGAUAAUACUAAUACUAAAAAUAAAUGAGAAACAGCCCCAUACUUUAAUCUUGAAGUCCCGAACGAGGACCUUUUCUUUGCGGAGUCUGUCCUUCUCGUCUUUUUUGGCCUGGAUCUUUUUCUUAUGCUCCAGAAAGAGAGAAGCCAGGCUUCCGUCCAGCUUCAUCAUGGCCGCAUCAUCCAGUUCCUCUUCGUCACUGCCAUCCUCUUCAGUGGCCUAAACAAGAACAACAGAACAUCAGCUGCUGCUGAUUCCCUCUUUGUGUUAUCAGA